UACAGAGGUCUCAAGCGUUGUUCGGAUUCAUUGGGCGUAAAGGGUGCGUAGGCGGCAGCGCAAGUCAGGUGUGAAAUCCCGGGGCUCAACCCCGGAACUGCACUUGAUACUGCGUUGCUAGAGUACUGGAGAGGAGACUGGAAUUUACGGUGUAGCAGUGAAAUGCGUAGAUAUCGUAAGGAAGACCAGUGGCGAAGGCGAGUCUCUGGACAGUUACUGACGCUGAGGCACGAAAGCGUGGGGAGCAAACAGG
rnacentral:rRNA from 1 species